CUUUUAACACAGCAUGAAAAUACUUAUUGUUUGAAUCUCCCAAUUGUAUCCAUUUGGCUCUAGAUUUCUGCUGGAGGAUACUUUCUUCAAUCAGUGACCACUUCUCCAUCUUCAAUAACGGAUCCUUUUCUUUAGCCUGCAAAUCAUCAGUAUAUUGUGAGCUCAUCUAGUGCUGGAUGAUUUUUAGUUCCUCCCUGCU
rnacentral:lncRNA from 1 species